rnacentral:rRNA from 1 species
GACGAACGCUGGCGGCGUGCCUAACACAUGCAAGUCGAACGGAGUUAUUUGAAAUGAUUCUUUCGGGAUGAUUUUCUUUUAACUUAGUGGCGGACGGGUGAGUAACGCGUGAGUAACCUGCCUCCGAGUGGGGAAUAACAGUCUGAAAAGACUGCUAAUACCGCAUAACAUAAUGAAGUCGCAUGGCUUUGUUAUCAAAGAUUUAUCGCUUGGAGAUGGACUCGCGUCCGAUUAGUUAGUUGGUGAGGUAACGGCUCACCAAGACCACGAUCGGUAGCCGGACUGAGAGGUUGAACGGCCACAUUGGGACUGAGACACGGCCCAG